GUUAAACCAUAACUAACUCAGGGCCUUGUUAAAGACCCGAAGUACAAUUUUUGAAGCCCUGUCUCUCGAGGCAGGGG
rnacentral:snRNA from 15 species